AUCCCAGGACCCCAGGAUCAAGACAUGAGCCCAAGCAAGGCAGCUGCUUAACCAACUGAGCCAUCGAGACAACUCAAGAGUUGAAUUUAAAAAUGAACUGCAUUUUAAUAAAUAUAAAUGCAUUUAAUUGCAUUUAAUAAAAGUCAUUUGUCCAGAAGAUUAUUCUUGCUACUUGAUUAUCUGACCGUUGGUUCUCAAGUCUAAUGUAUUGGUGUUGAGAACUCAUAGCAUCCGAGGGCUAUUUCCCAAGCCUGGCAGAGCCACCCUGGUCCUACAACAGACUUCGGUAUGAGAUCCAAGUGUUCAAAAAAUCAGCUUUAAAAAGUGCAGUAGUUUAUGGCCCUGUAAAAUUGUUGUAAUUGCUACUUAGUCAGAUAUGUACUCAUUUAUCAAGUGGGAAAUUGUUAAAAGUUAUUCAGAACAGUUUGGUUAUUUGCUUAUUUUUUGGAGCUAGGGUCUUAGAUUUUUUUUUCCUUGUAAUAAGAAUUAAAUACGUAGUGAAUAAUUUAUU